UUUAAAUGUAAAUAUAAAUUUUAAGUUAUUAAUAGUUAUGUUCUUUAAAACUAAAAAAUUUGGCGGUAUAUUAGUCUAUUCAGAGGAACCUGUUCAUUAAUUGAUAGUCCACAUUUAGAAUUACUUAAUUUAAUAAAUUUGUAUAUCGUUGUUUAUAAAAAAUUUUAUUAGAAUAAAAAUUUUUAAUAUUUAUAAUUAUAAAUAAUAUCAGAUCAUGGUGCAGUUAAUAAUUAAGAAGAAAUGGGUUACAAUAAAAUUAUUUAUAUGGAUUAUAAGUUUAAAAUUUAUAUAAAAGUGGAUUUGAUAGUAAAAUUAUUGAUUUAAAUAUUUUGAUUAUAGCUCUAAAAUAUGU
rnacentral:rRNA from 2 species